UACGUAUGGUGCAAGCGUUAUCCGGAUUUACUGGGUGUAAAGGGAGCGCAGGCGGCACGGCAAGCCUGAUGUGAAAGCCCGCGGCCCAACCGCGGGACUGCAUUGGGAACUACCGGGCUGGAGUGCCGGAGAGGUAGGCGGAAUUCCUAGUGUAGCGGUGAAAUGCAUAGGUAUUAGGAGGAACACCAGUGGCGAAGGCGGCUUGCUGGACUGAAACUGACGCUGAGGCUCGAAAGCGUGGGGAGCAAACAGG
rnacentral:rRNA from 1 species